rnacentral:rRNA from 1 species
GUUGUAUGGUUAAGUGACUAAGCGUAUGUGGUGGAUGCCUUGGCAGUUAGAGGCGAUGAAGGACGUGUUAAUCUGCGAAAAGCUUUGGUAAGGUGAUAAA